rnacentral:rRNA from 1 species
CCUUUUGCAUAAUGGGUCAGCAACUUAAUACUGCAGGCAAGAUUAAAAGUCCAAGCGAAAGCGACUAUCGAAUCAGAUGGGUUAAGUCUGCAUUAUUAGACCCGAAACGACGUGAUCUAGCCAUGGGCAGGAAUAUAGGUCCGAACAGGUGCACGUUGCAUAGUGCUCUGAUGACCUGUGGUUAGGAGUGAAAUGCUAAUCUAACGUCGUGAUAGCUGGUUCUCUGCGAAAUGCAUUGCAGUGCAGCGUCAAUGAAUAUCUUAUGGUAGGUACAGCACUGAUUGACAUGCCUCCAUUCAAUGGUUCGCCCAUUGUUAUGGAUGGCCGACUAGGGGGGUGUGAAAGCUCUAUCUAGGUCAGUUAACCUCGGAAUGAUCAUAAGCAGUAGUUGGCAGUGAGUCGUAGGGUGAUAAGGUCUUAUGACGAAAGGGAAACAGCCCAAACAAUGUGUUAAAGUCCCAAAAAUAUAGAUAAGUGAAAUUAAGGAAGUGUAUUACCUGAUACAGCCAUGAUGUGGGAUUGGAAGCGUCCAUCAUUUAAAGAAAGCGUAACAGCUCAGUGGUCUAGGUCGCACGCGCCGAAGAUAUACCGGGUCUAAAUCUAUAUACUAAUACCAUUGUAUAAUGUCAAUGACACCGAGCUUCGCUCGGUGCUGAUAUUAAUAAGUAGCAGAGCGUCCAGUAUUGAUGAAGAGCAGUAUUUUAUUGUUUGGAGAUAACUGGAGUGAGGAUGCUGGCAUGAGUAGCAAUAAUGAAUGUUAAAUCAUUCACACCGAAAGAGAAAGGUUUCUGAGGGCAAGUUAGACUGCCUCAGGUUAUAUGUUCAAUUUUUGAACAAUUAGCGGUAUCUAAGGGGUUAGCCAACGCGACACCUCGAUGAUUAUAUUGCAGAACGGCUCGAAAGAGUCCAGGAAAAUAAUGCAAUCGACACCGAGCUUCGCUCGGUGCAAGCUACCGUACCUUAAACCGACACAGGUUCUCGGGUAGAGUAUACUAAGGUGACGGAAUAAUCAAGUUUAAGGAACUCGGCAAAAUGAUCUCGUACGUUCGACAAGAAGAGAUGCCCAUAUUACUAUGGGUGGCACAGAAUCGGGGGGUGGAACUGUUUACCCAAAACACAGCAGCCUGCUAACACUAACAGUGGUCGUAUAGGUUGUGAUUCCUGUCCGGUGCCUCGUGAUAUGGUGAUUGACAAUGUAUUUUUGAUAUGUUGUUGAAGCCUGAAGACGAGGUAAACGACGGUCUUAACUAUAAGGAUCCUAAGGUAGCGAAAUUCCUUGGCCAAUAAUUACGGUCCUGCAUGAAUGGAACAGUCAUGCCCCCACUGUCUUAAACUUGAGUCCGGUGAAAUUGAAUUAGCCGUGCAGAUGCGGUUUACCACUAGUUAGACGGGAAGACCCUAUGCAACUUUACUAUAGUCAGAUAUUGUGUUAGUCUAUCGUUUGUCACAGGUAUGAGGUAGUCGAUAAGACGCAAGUGAGAGACCUCAACAAAUCAUAGACGCACUAACCUAUCACCGAUAGGGAAAGUGUCUGAUGGGUAGUUUUACUGGGACGGUACCCUCCAAGAAAGCAUCGGAGGGGUCCAAUAGGUACACAUAGCUUAGACGGGGACUAAGUGAUCAUGUAAGAUCAAUAACAGCAUAAUGGCAAAAGUGUGCUAAACUGAAAGACUGACAGGUCGAUCAGGUACGUAAGUAGGGCAUAAUGAACCGAUAAUAUGUUAUGGUACAGUUAUCGUUCAACGGAUAAGUUACGCUAGGGAUAACAGGCUAAUAGCGCGAAAGAGUUCAUAUCGUAAGCGCUGUUUGGCACCUCGAUGUCGACUCA